ensembl:lncRNA
CCCACACCCAAAACAAUAGAAUAGUUAACAGGUUACCAGGAAACCAGGUAAACGCAGAGCCAAGCUCAGGUGUUCCCUGCAAAAGCAGCAGUCUGCCUAUAGAGGGCGCCCUCUAACAUGCAAACCAACCCUCAGGUGCUUCUGGUCUCUUAGAGCCUAGGUAGUCCCCAGCAUCACUGUUUCAGGUGGAAGUGGCUGUGAACAUUUCCGUCGGACUAAAAGCAUAAAGUUGUUAAACAGGGAACUUCUGUAAAAUCCAGGAAGACUUCUUCCUGUUGAAAACCCUGAACCAGAAUGGUACUUUUCUACUGGCUGGGGCCCCUUGCUCCAGUGAGUGGGACGCGGGGUCUGACCACGUGUGACCACGCCCCCUCACACCUGCUCCUGUGGAACAGAUGUGUUUGUCUUCCUCAAGCAUUUACGACCGUUAUGACUGCUCAGAUCACAUUUUUUAAACCCGUAGGUGGAACUUACCUUUAAAUACCUCCCCUUUAAAUACCCCCAUGACUGGUUCAUGGGCGUAUCCUUUAAACCCCUUAAUUGAUUGAUUGAGCCAAUUAGAAGGUGAACAGAUUAGCAUCACAUGCCAAGAGAAAAUCUAACAGGACCCGCCCCCUUCUCUUUCAUAACAGGUUCUCUACUUUAAUUUAUUAUAUAAAAACAAAUUUGCAAAUCCCCAAUCAAACUCAAGUUCAUGUAUAGAUUUAUGGAUCCUCUUGCCUAGGCUUCAUGGGGGGCAUUGUCCAGCCAGAUUUGGAAAUAAAGGCGUGUUUUAUAGCUAUGUUAUACGUAAAUCUACUGUUGACACUAACGUCCCCCCCCAAGCACGUUUCAAAUUCAAUUCACAAUUUUAUUUGUAUAGCCCUUAAUCACCAUUACAGUUUAAAAGGGCUUAACAGGCCAAAUAUUUUUGACACAUCCUGACAAAUCCGAGUUAUACUUGUAUAAGGUGUUGAAUGACUUGAUUACUUUGUGUAUAUAUAUAUAUAUACAUAUAUAUAUAUACCACAUAUAUCUACCGAGCAUGGGGACUGCUGAAGCGAGGCGCUGGGGCAGGAAGCCUUCUGGGGCCGGUGGAGGGAGAACUCCUACUACAUUAGUACUUUCUUUGUGUUUUUCUUUAUCAGAAGCAGUCAAUGUUUUAUCCAACUGGUUGGAAGGAGAUCCGUGCAAAACAUAGCAAGUGUGUUUUAAUGAUUUUCAAUUGCAGUUGAACGCAUUGUGACUGCGCCUGACGCAUAAUGCAGACAUGUGAACCCAUGAUGAAAUAAAUACUUACAUACACUGAUAGAAUUCAUUGGACGGACAUUGGUUAAAUUUAAUUGAAAACGAUUAAUUACAUUUUUGAUGAAUUGCAGGAAAACAAACUCUUAUGUCUUGGUGCCAGAAAGUGAUGCACUAAUAAAUAAUUAAAUUAUAAAACCGAUACGAUUUUAGAAGCUAUAUGGCCAAUUAUUUAUAAAUGAUAUCCUUCAAAUUAUACAUUUUACUUGAAUUAAACAAAACAAAGCAAAGCAUUAGACCAGUUUGAGGUUUGCAAUUAAGUUUAAUUCAUCAAUAAAAAAAAACAACCGUACAAUACACAAGUUUGACACUUUUAAUAAAUAAAUGAUUUCCCUUUCAAACAUAUCUUUUUGUAUUUGACACGUGCUAUUUUAUUUGUUUCCAGAAUUCUUAGUUUGUGAGAAUUAUAAACUCGAAACUAAAAUAUCUAAGACCAGGAUCUCAGAAAUAGAAAAAACAGACCUGGCUCCAUAAUCAUAACCCUGAUCUCACAAUCAUGACCCUGAUUCCACAUCAUGACCCUGAUUCCAAUCCCUCUCGACCAAACAGACAGGUCUACAGGAUUGUAAGAAAAUACUGUUGGUAUGUUUUUCGCAGUAUUGUCCAUGACAAAAAUCUGGAAAACAUAAGAGAAAUACACUUAUAAAGGAUCGGGAUACAUAAACGGGAAUUUGAUUUGUAAUGGCGAUUGUCAGGCGAGAAUUUUAAUGAUCGCACCGCUGAUUGUAAUAGCAUUGAUCUCCACCAGGGGGCGGUCCUGAGGCGUCUAAAGGCAUUCUACUGUUCGUGGACGUAAGCUCUGAGUCCGGUUCACUGACGGUCUACUUCAUGACAAACCAUGUAACACAACAUUAAUCCAAAACAUUUACACUUUCAGGAAGCGGUUGAUUAUCAAAGGAUUUUGUAAAGCCCUCCUGAAAUAUAUACCAAAUGCCAUUUCUCUUAAUUGCACUUAAAAUAACAUUGACAAGAAUUGUCUACUGUACAUAUUAACUAAUCAUAUAUUAAUCACCAUUUUGGGUUGUCCUUGCAGAUUUAAAAAAUAAAAAUCGAACAUUUCCUCAAGUCCUGCAUAAGACAUAACUAUAGUUUGACAGUUGAUUGUGCCACAGAUCCAUAAUAUUGAUUUCUUCUGUACAUAAACUCAGGGAGAUUAAGAACAUGAAACCCUUCCGUAAACGUUGCUCGACGGUUGUUUCCACUUUGAAGAAAAGUACAAUUCAACGUUUUAACGUCAGUAUAUUGCGACAGUUCUGAACCCUUCAGGAGAACCCUGCAGUUCAGGUGACCUGAGGAGGUGAACUGCGGAUCAUGUGACCUGAGUCUGUUCGAACCGCGGGUCAUGUGACCUGAGCCUGCUCGAACCGCGGGUCAUGUGACCUGAGCGUGCUCAGCACCGUGGGUCAUGUGACCUGAGUCUACUCCAACCACCGGUCAUCCGACCCGGUCCUCAGUCCAGCGGCUCAGCUGACCAAUCACUGAAGCUCUCCUCAGUCACAUGGUGCGUGUAACGCUCCACAGAAAGUUGGAGGUUACAAAAUGUCUGAUGUGCACCAUCAUCAUCAUCAUCACCAUCAUCAUCAUCAUCAUCAUCAUCAUCAACAUCCUCCAAAAAAAUCUUCAUAAGGCAAAUACGAACGAGUUAUUAUUUGCUGGCAUUUCACGUUUUCUUUUAAAUGUUUACACUUUUACAAUUUACAAAGGAGAUCUCGUUAUCAAUAUUGGCAGCUUCAGCAUUCAGUGCACAUUUCCGUUAAGAUGGCUGCUCCUCUUUGAUUGUGUGUGUGUGUGGGUGUAUGCACGUGCAUGCACUUACUGUAUGCGUGGUUAGACAACAAUAUGUUCCUGAAUCACUGAAUCCGGUGAAUUUAUAUUGUUUGACGAAGACUCGGUUAUUGUGCAUCGGUGAUAAACUGCUUCGAUGUUAACCCCCGUCUGGUGUGAAACCCUUGACCUGCUCUGUCCUUUAGGGUCACGGGACGCUGGGAACCAAAAAACGGGGACAGCCAAACUAAACUGAGUCUGUCGCUGAGCGCUGUCCAACGGAGGCUGUCAGUGUCGCCUAACUCCGCCUCCGAGCCGAGGACGGGUGAAGGGUUGGAGGUGUGAAGGAGUGGAGGAGGUGUGAAGCGCCUGAUUGUGUCUGGCUCCCUCCUAUUCGUUGAGGCCCCCCCCCCGGCUUGGAACAACAGGAUUCUGUCAAACCACCGCGUUAAGUGAGAGACCCGAGACUCGAGCGAGUGUCUGACCACCUUAGGUUUCCUUUGCGGCCGGCGUGACAGCACGUCAGGGCCCGGUGGCCUGUCUACCUGCUCACACUAAACCACGCUACGUGACCCCCUGUUGGCCCCCCGGUGCCACGUCUCCAGACAGGUGUGGAUUCAAAUCGACGCAGAUGCAGGGUGAGCGCUAGACAAGGGCUAGACGGGACUGAGGAGGCUGAGGAGGCCUGAGACAGGGCCUAACCCAUGGACGCAGAGGGGAUUUAGGACGGGGGACACAAGGAGAACAAAAGGAACAGAACCACAAACAAAGCUCUGGUGAACCCACUGGUGAUUCUUUGAAGUGCUACGGUCACCUUCGUAACCCGAGUCUAUUUGAUCGAAUAGGAGGCUAAGUUAGAAUCUCUCUGUACGCUGCCUUUGGGAAAUGAAGCAUUUAAUUCUUUGUUAAUUUUGUUGAUGAGGAAUGACACUUUGAAUGAGGAAGCUUGAGCUCCUUGUGGACUUUAUUGCCUUUAGAUCCGGUUGUACCGACGAGCUUCAUAAAUAGCACCUCCGUAGCCAAACGGAUGAACGUGUGGCUGGUCGGUGAAGAGACAGAGAUAACCCAAGAGAAAAGGAGGAGAGAGAGAGAGAGAGACGGGGAGACCUGAAGAGACAGUGAUACAUAUAAACAUCCCUGCAGGGGCCCGUCAGCUAGCAGGUGUGCAGAUGUUUCUCCUGCAUGUCUGUCAGGUGUUUGCGGGGCCGGAGGGGGCCUGGUGGUUCACCAUCAGCCCUGACGCUAACCUCCCCGGACCCUCACAGCUCGGGAGUGUCACCUCGCAUGAAGUCCUGUGCUUUAGAAUCAGUUGAGCGGCCAAUUUCCAUCACCACACAUUUCGGACAUUCUGUCGUCGGAUAAACUGCCCCUUGAUGCGAUAUCACUGAACACGUGAAAAGAUUUUGAAAUAUGGCCCAACCUGGCAGAAGAUUUACUACUUAAUUAACUCAGGAGGAGGUGGGAGGGACUUAGAGUGUAAUUCCGGCAAAGAAAUUCGGCAUGGAAACCUAUAAAAUAAGCCCUCCAGACACUUUUUUUCAUUGAUAAUCGAGUAUAGAGCUUGCCCAAAGUUGCCUGGAGCAAUGUAACAGCCCAAAUUACUUCCAUGUUAUUGGCUAGGGGCACCGCAAACGCUUCCAAGUCGGCAUUUCUUAACAACUAAUCAUGCUACUGCAGAGGUUUUGUGCUAUUUUUAGCAAUAUUAGUGGUUAAGAAAUGCCGAUUUGGAAGCGUUCGCGGGGCUCCUAGCCAAUAACAUGGAAGUAAUUUG